ensembl:lncRNA
AGCAUUACAACUGGUCGGGAUCCCACAUCACAUGAAAAUGAGGAAAGUUAUUGUGAUCACUGUCAUAAAGUGCUGUAAAACUGGUGCAAGUGGGAUGAGAAUCAGCCUGGCCAUGUUAGCAACUUUUUGACAUCUGUGUAAAUCUGCUGAUUUCCACGGAGUUACCCAUGGCAACUAAAGAUAGGAGGAGAAAACAUUGGCUGGAGAACCAGGAAAUGAAAAGCGUUAGGAUAAAGAGCAAAACAGAUCAAUCCAGGAGAAGUCAAACUCCCUGUUUCCUAGACUGGCUCAGUGUGGCAGCAGUUCCAGUUGUGUCUCCAUUAUACACAAGCAGACUCAACAACAACAUGCCCUGUCACUGGGGGAACAAAUUCCUGAUGUUGCCAAAUGAGUCCUAAGGAAGCAGGGAACAAAGAAAGAGUUGAGAACCAGGCACCGAAGGAUUCAGUGUAUCAUAAACUGUAAACAUGAAAUACAGCAGGG